UCUAUCUCUUUAUCUACUUACCUACACUACUCAAGGUAAUUAAUGAUAUUACUAUAAUUGUUACAUCCAUUAUUCAGGUUUUCGUAAUUGUGUUACAGGCAGAAUUACCGGCAUCGAAGAACUUUUUCAUCAAUUGGGAUUCAUCAGUUUUGAAUCUUGAUAGUCUGGUAGAGAGUAAUCGAUGGCAUCGUCAAAAUAUCUGCGAAAAUAAGGAAGAGGAACUGGAUCGAGAAUCCGGACUUAUACAGCGAGCGACAUAUGCAAUGUAUCAUGAAAUCGUCAAAUUUAUUUGUCCGGGCCGGUACAAUGGAAGGGCCAAUCAUUUUUGCCACUGUAGCCAGCAGCAGGAUAGGAUUCCUCUGAGAGGACCGCCCGGCUCAUCCGUGCCGUCGCCCAUUCACCGAAUAUUGAAAAAUCACCGCUCACUAAAUCCACAUUCGUUCGAACCCGAAUUAUGGUCGCAGAGAUAUUGGUGAUUGUCCAUUGUUGAAGGGAGCGGGUGUUGGCAUGGAUGAUCCGUCUGAUGUACGACAAGGACGAGAAAAGUAACUUAUCAUAUUUGAAUGGAUCAAUAGUAAUGUAACCACCACUCGCAAGUAGAGCACCAGGUCUUAUCGGUUUUGUUCUGUAGGUUAAUUGUAUUUUUUGCGACUCUUAUUUUAUGCAGCGAACGGAGUUAAACCUGGAGCCAAUGCCUUUUUUUACUUUCUGCCACCACAUUGAAAAAAUCAAAAAGGUUGUACUGAAAAACUAUGAAUAAAUUAACACUAUAACCAUA